rnacentral:rRNA from 1 species
UACAGAGGUCUCAAGCGUUGUUCGGAUUCAUUGGGCGUAAAGGGUGCGUAGGUGGCGGGGUAAGUUGGAUGUGAAAUCCCGGGGCUCAACCCCGGAACUGCAUUCAAUACUGCCUUGCUAGAGCACUGGAGAGGAGAUUGGAAUUUACGGUGUAGCAGUGAAAUGCGUAGAUAUCGUAAGGAAGACCAGUGGCGAAGGCGGAUCUCUGGACAGUUACUGACGCUGAGGCACGAAGGUCAGGGGAGCAAACGGG